UGCUACUGGGACAGCCUCUGCCAGUUGUCGUGGCGACUAGCAUGCGAGCACAACACGGAACAUGACGCGGGAUUUUCCGCAAGCGUCCAAGAAUGCGGUCCCAGCUUGCAGAAGAGGGCCCAGCUCUCCGGCUGCGAGACAAUUCUAGAACAAUGGCUCUCCACAGAGAUCUCCAACAUGAGACGCCCACUCCUGGGCAGGGCCAGCAGUGAGAGAAAACAUCAACCCCACUACUGAUGUCAGACAUCUCAAAGAGCCCCUCUGCUGUCGGACAACACAAAUAUCCUCAAGCAGUAGCACAGCAAUUAUAGGAGAGAAAAACAAGGAAAACAGACAUAUUCCAUUGCUUUAAAGCCAAAUAAGGGCCUCUGUUGAUUGGGCAGAGAACGAAAAUCUGGACCCUCAGAAUGUUGUGCCAGACAAAAAAAGUAUUCCUCCGGGUAACAUUCCCUCCACAAAUAGCAGCUGCAUGGACCUGUGGAGAAUUCCCACGUAGGACUGUGUCACCAGAACACAGCCCACGGUCUGUGGCUGAGAGCCAGACAUCUGAUAAAGCAGAAUGAAAUUCCAGAUAAAAUAGCCGUGGCGGUCAGACACACCCGCAGGCUCAGGUCUGUUUUUAGAAUCUCGUAACAAAUUGUGCAACGGGAGCAGCGGGGAGAAAAACAUCCUGAGAUGAAUUCCUUUGAUGGUCUGGAGUACAGAGAGAUUCUCCUCAGCCUCUCUCAGCGCUCAGAGAAGAGUGUGCAUCCCUGCAAUACUCCAGAGAGUCCCCAGCAAAAGCUACCUGUCAUUUCCAGUGUGAUAAUGAUCAUCAUAAUGAGCUGAAUGUAUAUCAACCCUUUCAAUCCUGUCCAAGCAUCUCAGUGCACUUUACAGUUUGGAAGUAUGUGCUGGUGGAGGGCUUAACUCACCAAAACCAUCACUAAUGUGUUUCCUGCCCCAAGCUAAAUGAUCCUAAUCUCUGCAGAAGCCCCACACAUUAGUAGAGGUGGUCAGAGAGUAACAGAUUUAAUUAUAUAAACUGAGGGAUGGUUAGGUGGCCAGAGAUACAUAGCCACAAUCUGACAGAUGUUAUCAAGUUAUGUGAGAUUUACAGGCACCAGUAAUUCCCCUCUGUUAGAGUAUGUUCUGUCUGAUUCUCUCCCGUGCCCCACUGGAGGGGGAGACUCAAAGCCAGGUCAAUACGCAGUCCCUGGCAGGGGCUGUUUCUGGAGCGAUCGAACUUAAGAUAACAGGUAUUGAACGGUGGAGUGACCGACUGGCAGGGUUGGGACAAUCCCACUGGGGAUUUGGGGGAUGCGCUGUGAAGAGGGGAGGGGGCUAAUGAAGAAGCACCUGAGACCCCCACUAUCAAAUGUUUAUGAGAGCUGAGUGACAUCAUACAGGGAAGGGGGGUUGGGUGAAGACACACACAGACACACACGCACACACACAAACACACACAUGAAUGGACUCGCCUCUCCUCUUUGCAUUCGGUACAGUAGGUUCACCUUUGUCUCUUCUUCCUUGAAUCAAUUAGAGAAGACACCGAUGUACCCUCCUGUCUCUCAAGGGGGAACCACAUCUUAGUGGCCUGCGGACAUUUUAAUAGUUAAAAAAUGAUUUUUAAUUCAUUUAAAUAGCAGGCUGCUCUGUUUUGGAUCCAGCUGCUUGCUGUCCUACACAAAACUAUUAAAAGGUUGUUUUAUGCUCCCUUUCACCUCUGAGAUUCCAUAUACAUGCGGACACUAAAUGGUGCACUGUUCUGUGUGCGGUGUUUGGGUGUGUUUGUUGAGCGACAGGCAGACAUAGCAAGGAAUGCCACACCCCUUGGCUCUCCAUUCCAGUCUCCAAGUGGAGUCUCCCCCUCAUCCAAUCCAUAGGGAAUGUGGGUGGGGGGUGUUGUAGAGGUAAACAU